rnacentral:lncRNA from 1 species
AUAGGGAUUGUAUUGGUCUGUAGAUUGUUUUGGAUAAUAUGGACAUUUUUUUUAAAAACUAGAUUCCACACCCAGUGUGUAGCCUAGUGUGGGGCUUGAACUCAUGACCCUGAGAUCCACACCUGAGCUGAGAUCAAGAGCCAGACUCUUAAACCGACUGAGCCACCCAAGCACCCAGGGUGUUUUCAAGUUCAAUCACUGCGUCACUCAAGGGCACGUGCCGCUGAGAAGACCACCUUCGGGUUUUGUUCCAAGUACUUUCCAUGGAUCAGCUCUUCUGGGCCCACAACCAUCCCAUGAGGUAAGCAGAAUUAUUAUGUCCAUUUUCCUGCUCAGAGAGGUUAAAGGACUGUCUCAAGGCUGCAAAGCUGGUAAUAGGCAAAACCAGAAUUUGAACUCAGGAAGUGUGGCUCCAGAUCCCAGGCUCCUGAGAGCUACCCUGUACAGUGUUUCAGCGGAAGCAGAGCUGGGGCUCAUUGGCUCAACUGUUGAAGGAAGGGCCAGCGCUACUGAGCGCAUGUACCUAAGCAGGAAGCCGUCUGUCCUCAGGUACAGCUAG